UGGAAGUUCAAACCUGUGCUUUAGGUGUGGUGGUCGAAAAUGAGAGAGUUUCUCUCUAUUUACAGAUUAGGUCUAUCACUUCUUCAUCCUUGGAUCUUCAAUGGAUGGUUUCUUAUCUCUCACAUAGAUCCAAGACUUGUUUUGAUAAGUUGCUUUAUCUUUGUGCUCUUCCUUUAGAGUUAAUAGAGUGGUCAAAUAGUGUUUUGUCCUUUAAAUAGUGUUGCACCUUAAGUAAAUAGUAUCUUGCCUCAUUGAAUAAUAUUAUACUUUGAAUAAAUGUAAUUUUUAAUAUAUAUCCAAAGUGUAAUUUUUAUUAUACUUUGAGAUAAUAAAAUGAUAUAUAUCCAAGGUGUAUAAAUGUCAUUUUUCUAAUGGUAAUUUUGACUCGGACUUUGAUUACCCACAAAUAAUUUUAGAAUUUAUUAAAGUUAGGUCUAAUCUUAAUUAAUUUCACCUUAUAGAUUAAGAUUGUAAUUAGUUUCAUCAUUUGUAAUAUGGGGAGAUGUCAUGUUUGUACGUAGGGUGUCAAAUAAAGCCCGGCUCCACGGGCUCGUUAAGCUACACAAGCUUGAGGAUUGGGCUCGGGUAAUUAAGCUAAACCCUAUAUAUGCGUACGAACCGAACCCGAGUAAUUUUUACCCGAUUUUUUUGGGUCGGGUUCGGGUUUGACCCGACUCAUCAGAAGAAAUUUAUAAAAAAAUCAUUAAAAUAUAAAUAAUUAAUAUAAUUUUAUAUAAAACACUUUAUAAAAAAAUUAAUAUACAUAAUUAUAAACUUCUCAUCUUUUAUAAACCUUAAUUAGUUAAUUUCAUAUCUUAAAAUUUAAACAUUAAUUUCAUUUCCCUUUCCUCUUCCACUUUCAUUUUCCCUCUUCGCCGGCCCUCUCCUCGUCAUCGUCAGACCUCUGCUCCUAUUUUCACAAACCCUCUCCAUCUUCACAAACCAUUUUAUUUAAUUUUUAUAAAAUUUAAAAAUUAUUUAAACAACAGGAUUUUUUAUACAAAAUAUUUAAUCAAUUUAUUAAACCCGAACCCAAACAAAUCCGACAUCAAAACCGGGUUCGGGUCCGGGUUCAAUAUUUCUUAACCAUCCCGGGUUUUAACCCGAACCCGAUUUGAAACUCGAGUUCGAAUCAGGGUCUAGGGAAACCCGACCCAUGUCCAAUCCUAGCACCGAAGGGGCGUUCUCACCCUUAAUUACUAUUGAUAAUAAAAUUUAAGUUAAAAAAGAAUUAUCUGAAACUAUUAAAACUAAUAACUGAAAUACCUAUAAUUUGUUUUUAUCUUUAAUCAAAGCUCUGAUUAUUUAAAUAAAAUGGCCUUGCCGUCGCCGGAACUCUCUCUCUCACUUUCAUAACCGGUUACAAUAUGGAACUUAACGGGAAGGUUACGCAUUUUUUAGUCGUGUCAUGUGUAAUGGCGAUCUCAGGAGGAUUAAUGUUUGGCUACGACGUUGGCAUCACCGGUGGAGUUAUGUUGAUGGAUGACUUCUUGAUGAAAUUCUUCCCGGAGGUCUAUGAACGGAAAUCCUGGAACCCGAAAGACCUUGAUAGUAUCUACUGCAAAUACAACGACGUAAAACUACAGCUUUUCACUUCAUUUCUUUAUCUUCCAGGUGUGUUGGCUACUCUCUUUGCAUCGCAUUCGAACAGAGAGAUGGGGCGUAAACCGACUAUGGUCAUUGCCGGUGUACUUUACCUUACCGGAUUAGGAUUCACCGUCUCUGCGCAGUAUCUUUGUUUUCUCAUUCUUGGUAGAUUCUUAUCGGGUUGGGGAAUCGUAAUGGCUAAUCAGGUACAUAUGAUUUGAAGUUGGAUUUAUAUAUUUUGGAUCUUGUAAAUUGUAAUAUUGCCGUGUUUUGAUUUGCAGACGGUUCCUAUUUUUCUAUCGGAAAUUGCACCGUCGGAGAUCCGUCAUGGUCUCAAUAUAACAUUGACAUUCAUCUCUGUCAUCUUCGGAAUAAUCAUUGCCAGUCUCGUCAACUACGGCAAUAACCAGUGGAUCAAAUUCGGAUGGGGAUGGAGACUGUCACUUGGUUUAGGAGGUAUUCCAGCUUUGAUCCUCAUCAUCGGAUGUUUUUUUAUUCUAGAGACACCCAACAGUCUGAUCGAACGCGGUUGUCUGCAGGAGAGUAAAACCGUUCUCCGCCGAAUUCGUGGCAUUGAUGAUAUCAAAGAAGAAUACGAUGAGGUUUAUCUUAAAACAUGUGAGAAAGCCGUUGAACAUCCUUACCGUAAUCUUUUUAAACGACGUAACCGACUUCCUCUCGUCAUCGUUGCACUUUUUCAAAUGUUCCAACAGUUCACCGGAAUCAACGUCGUGAUCUUCUACGGACCGUUGUUCUUCAACACUCUAGGUUUUGGAAACGAAGGAUCACUAAUCUCUGUGAUAAUCAUCAGUUGCGUCUACCUCAUUGCUACUAUGAUCUCCAUUUAUCACUUUUAUGACAUCGGGAGACGCUUACUUCUCGUUCAGGCCGGGGUUCAGAUGCUCUUAGGACUUGUCGGAAUAGCCAUAAUCCUUUUUUUCAAAGUCCCAGAUCACUCGUCAGGCCUUGGAAUGACGUAUGAGUUUCUCUUGGUGGUCUUGGUGUGUGUUUUUGUGUCUGCAUUUGCAUGGUCUUGGGGGGCACUAGGAUGGUGGAUUCCGCCGGAGACUUUUCCAGUGGAGGCAAGUUUAGCAGCACAGAUCUUCACUUCGUGCGUGAACCUUCUCUUCACUUUUGCAAUUGCUCAGGCAAGUCUUUCCAUGUUCUGCUACCUCAAAUUCGGAAUAUUUUUAUUCUUCGCCGGAUGGGUGAUGGUGAUGACGGCGUUUGUUAUAUUUUUCCUGCCGGAGAUGAAAGAUUAUCCGGUUGCAGAAUUAAGUAAUGAAGCGUGGAGGAAUCACUGGUUCUGGAAAAAAUUUGAUGAUGAAAACUUGCCACCAAGAAGAAGAACUAGAAGAACAGGAUAAUUUUUAUCUGCUUAGAAGUUUCUCAUUUUCAUAAGGUUAUCUCAAUCGUUUAAAAAUGUUGAGAGAAUCUGGACGGUUGAAUCUUCCUCUUUCUUUUUAUUGAUAAUUACCCAAGGAACAUUUCUACUAGGUAUCGUCCCAAAAACGUAUUAACAUCAAAGAUACCUUAUAUUUCUCACCUAAUUCUUCCUCGAUCUAUAUCACCCUACCCUCAUGCCGUCUUGUUGAGAUCAACCCUAUAAAUCCUUCAUUUGAACACCCCCAUGUAAUAUCAAUCUUGAUUUUUAUUCAACCCAAUGAGUACCGAAAUAUCCCACCAGCAUUCGAGGUGGUGCGAGCGGUCGUCUUCUCGUGUCGGAGGCUUGGAAUCCACAAAAGUCGUUCUACGUCGAGUCUUCUGGGGAGAAUCGACGAUUUGGGUUAGAAAAUCGGCAAUUGUUUCGUGUUUGUCGUCUGGAGGGGUGAAACUGAUGCCUUAGAUAUCCUCUGGAGGUUCCCUUUU
rnacentral:lncRNA from 1 species